AAAAAGCCUUGUAGGUGGAGAAAGAAAACAUGACUCCUUACUGAAGGCGCGGUACAUUAACAUGAGACAAACUUUGCGUAAGACUAUUUCUCGUCGUACUACAUCAGAUGAAGAAAGUAUAGAGGACUCAGAUAAUGAUCGAGAAUUGAGUUUAAGACAAAGAUUUCUGAAGGAUAAAGUGAGGCUUAACACUCUUGAAUCAGAAAACAAAGACCUUCAAAAUGAAUUUGAAAAAGAAAGAAAGAAUUAUUUAGAAAUUAUAGGAACUUUAUGUCGACAGAUGAAACUUUUCAAACAAAUAACUGAG